UACGGAGGGAGCUAGCGUUAUUCGGAAUUACUGGGCGUAAAGAGCUCGUAGGCGGUUUGUCGCGUCUGCUGUGAAAACUCGGGGCUUAACUCCGGGCCUGCAGUGGGUACGGGCAGACUAGAGUGCGGUAGGGGAGACUGGAAUUCCUGGUGUAGCGGUGGAAUGCGCAGAUAUCAGGAGGAACACCGGUGGCGAAGGCGGGUCUCUGGGCCGACAUUGACGCUGAGGAGCGAAAGCGUGGGGAGCGAACAGG
rnacentral:rRNA from 1 species